rnacentral:lncRNA from 1 species
AAAUUAAAAAUAUUUAUGCAUAUGUAAGAAUUACAUAUAUUUAUGGGGUACAUAUUUUGGUACAAAUAUUCAAUGUAUAGUGAUCAAAUCUGAGUAAUAGGAACAUCCAUCCCCUAGUACUACUACUACUAAUAAUAAUAAUGAUAUUUCCCUUGCAACUAGAGGACACCAUGUAAUAUGUAAAUAGAAGUAUUGUGUGGGAAUUCCAUAAAGCCUAUUUGAAGGGAACUUGACUGAGCAAGAAAGAUGGCUUGUUUGUUUUUUUUUAUUUUUUAAUCCUCUUUUCCCUUUCCUGAAAUACACAAUAGGAUGCCUCAGGUGGAGAAGUCAUGUUAAGCAACUUGCAAUACCGGGGACUGAAGAAAGCUGAGAACCUGACAGCUCCAUGUUUCAAUUUGGAAAAUGAUAGGUAAGGAAAAUGAAGCUCAAUGAAGUCACAUUCACAAAGUAGGAAAAAGCGUAUGUGUCUCUUCAUGCCAAAUUUAGCAUAAUAGAACUGCUAUGUGACCUUAGUUAUGUUGCCAGUUUCCUUUAUGAUCAAAUUUUCUCAUCUGGAUACUGGGGAUGAAAACAGUAGUUGCCUCACAAAACAGUAUAUCAGUUAGGAUACCUUCAACUACCAAUACCAGAAUGGUGGUUUAACUAACGUAGACAUUGAUUAUUUUUCACUCCGAUGGCUUAAAGAUACAUGGUUCUAGGUUUAACUCUGCAGCCCAACAUCGUCAUCAUAGUCCCAGAGUUAUUUUAUCUGUUCACUGUGUCAUUAUCAGGGUGUUUAUGACAUCUUCCAGUCUGCCCACAUAGAGCAUCAUACAAAUCAUACAAGCAUCAUGCCCAUAUACCUUGUAGGAAAGGGCUGUACUGCAUAUCAUCCAUUUGCUCUUUUGCUCUUCCAGAUCCCCCCUCCCUUUUUAUUUUUUAUUUUUUUGGACACAGAGUCUCGCUCUGUCAUCCAGACUGGAGUGCAGUGGCACAAUCUUGGCUCACUGCAACCUCUGCCUCCUGGGUUCAAGCAAUUUUCCCAUCUCAGCCUCCCAAAUAGCUGGGACUACAGGCACACACCACCACGCCUGACCGAUUUUUGCACUGUUUAGUUGGGAUUUCACCAUGUUGACCAGGCUGGUCUCAAACUUCUGGGCUCAAGUGAUCCGCUGCCUCAGCCUCCCAAAGUACUGGAAUUACAGGCCUGAGCUACCACCUCUGGCCCCAGAUCCUCUCUUGACCCUUCUCUACCCAUUCUGUACCACAGGAGGGUGACUGGAAUGGACUACUUCUAACUGUGACUGAUUUCUGAUUCAUUUUAGCUAAUGAAAUCAUGAGUUUAAAAGUAGAAAGGCAAGUGGUGUUGGGAUAUUUAUUUCUCAUUCCUUCCUCCUUGCCAGGUCAUGUGGGUUGGAUGUUAACAGCCCCCUCAACACAGCUAUUCUUACCGGGAACUAAACACUGGGCCCUCCUUUGCUGCUUCACAGCAGCUCUUUUCUUGAAAACCUCCGGUUACUUCACUAUCUCUUGUUCAUAAUAGAUUAUUUAAAAAACUAUAUUACUUACUAUGCCAAUGAUUUUGUGCUACUUAUACUGGGUUGUUCUAUAUCUAUAUAUAUCUAUAUCUAUAUAGUCUUAGAGGCUAUUACUUAAGCAAUUUCUUCUCAAAUGAUUCACAAUUAAGAAGAGUUACCUAAAUUCUCAUAAAAUAGCCAUGAAUAGACAUAAGACAGUUUUACACCAUUAGAAGCAGUAACAGGCAACCAAAUUAUAGAACCAGAGAUAAUUCACAGUUAACUAUGAGAUAGAUUUAUUCUGUAUAUACAGAUAGAUAUAGAUCUAUCUAUAUCUUUCUAUCAAAAGCCAGAGAGAGAGAGAUAACUCCUGGAAUUUAUACUUCAUAAUAUAAAAUAAAGACCACCUAAAAUGCAAAAUGAGCUUUAUCGUUAUCCAUCAUUAGCCCUGUGAUUCCAAUCUUUAGGUCCUACACAAAUUUAAAACUAGAUUGCCCACCAACUUUUUUGAAGAGUAGCUUUAUAAAGUAGAGUACUAUUUAACUCAUUCUAGUUGCCUUUAAAACUGGUAGCAACAUACUUUUCUGUCCCUGUUUUAAACACUACUAUUACCAGGCAAAAGCAACUUAGCAAUUUGCGUUAAACAACUCUUGUUAUCAGAAGACUGGGAAAAAUAAUUAAAAUAGCAUAUUUUUUAAGUCCAAGAACUUGCUCAUCAUCAAGACUUGCUUCAAGACUCACCUUGCCACAUCCACUAGGUUAAAGCUACUAUCUUGUAAAUUUCUUAACGAUAACCAGUUUUAUACCUUACAACAUCCACCUUAAAGUCCUUCACUCCAGUCCUUAAGACCCCAUGAGUGUACUCCCCUGACCUUACCCCUCUCAGUCACUACUAAGAUUCAGUCAAUAUGGUGUUCUCUUUCAUUGCAGUGGGUCUAAUAAACUUAGUUUUGUGUGAUCAAUAUUUUUUUCUGGUGAAUUUUUGUGGGGGAGGGCAUGGUGUCAAUAUUUGACAGCCUUCUCCUUACUCUAAGCAGUGCUAGCAUCUUAGUCCACCAAGAUGGAGACUGUAAAUCCUAGAAUAAAAGUGCACAAGAAGUAAGGAUUUUGAGGGGUUGGAUCAAUACAUUCUGUGGUUUUAGAUUUUGUGAGUGGGUCAAGUACAGUAGGGAGUGUUGGUUAGAAAAAUAACCAGUGUAGCAGUUUACAUGUGUUUGAAAGUACAGGUUUUCAUGUAUUAACAUUGUCUCAGAGCAUCAAACCAAAAAGAGCUCAGGGAUAGGAUGAAAAUACAACUCUAAUAUGUUUUACUAGAAAAAGAGAAUCAGACUAAGAUAUGUGUACCUCAACCUGAUUUCAAAGUGUAGAUCUAAAAGAGGUACUAACCUACCCACUGAGUGGCAUAUAAACAGAGGGAUCUGCAAUACUCUUACACUUUUCUGACACAUACCUAUUGAGCUUAGAUUCA